UACGUAGGGGGCAAGCGUUGUCCGGAUUUAUUGGGCGUAAAGAGCGUGUAGGCGGCCAUACAGGUCCGUUGUGAAAACUCGAGGCUUAACCUCGAGACGUCGAUGGAAACCGUAUGGCUAGAGUCCGGAAGAGGAGAGUGGAAUUCCUGGUGUAGCGGUGAAAUGCGCAGAUAUCAGGAAGAACACCCGUGGCGAAGGCGGCUCUCUGGGACGGUACUGACGCUGAGACGCGAAAGCGUGGGGAGCAAACAGG
rnacentral:rRNA from 1 species